rnacentral:rRNA from 1 species
UACAGAGGGGGCAAGCGUUGUUCGGAAUUAUUGGGCGUAAAGGGCGCGUAGGCGGUGCGGUAAGUCACUUGUGAAAUCUCUGGGCUCAACUCAGAGUCUGCAAGCGAAACUGCCGUGCUUGAGUAUGGGAGAGGUAUGUGGAAUUCCCGGUGUAGCGGUGAAAUGCGUAGAUAUCGUUUGGAACGCCAAUGGUGAAAACAGGUAACUGGGGAUGUGCCGACGCUGAGACACGAAAGCCAGGGGAGCGAACGGG